rnacentral:lncRNA from 1 species
UCGGAUGUUACAAAGUAGAUGUGGCAGAGACACCCAGUGUCAUUUCCCAAACGCAAAGCACCAAGUCGGGUGUAAGCAAACAAAAUGCCAGCGGAAACACGAGCAUCCACAAAUCAAAGAAGAAAUUGAAAACUGUCUAGAAGCCCUAGCUUCCUUGAACGAGAGAAGAUGCCGAAAACAUCAUACGCCGCUCCGCCCCCGGCAAUUUUCCCCUUCUCCCGGGGAAGAGGCUCCAUCUCCCAGUUUAGACGCCCACUGAUCCACAUGCUGAAACCCGAACGACGGUCCGUUAGCAUUCCAAAUUUAGGAGGAAAACAAACCAAAGAUAGCAUCACUCCUCGACCUUGAAAGAACAACCUCCCCAUCUCUCCUUGCUUCGGGGGAUAUACCGAUCGCCGACCGCACCGAUCUUUCUUCUCACGAAGAUCAUAGAAGAUAAUUGCCGGCAACCCUGCUCCGGGACCUUCCGCCUUCUCCCAGCAGCGGGGGAACCCAUCUGCUGUUCU